AAAAGGAACGCUAAUMCCGCAUACGCCCCAAGGGGGAAAGCGGGGGAUCUUCGGACCUCGUGCUAUAGGAGGAGCCUGCGUCGGAUUAGCUAGUUGGUGAGGUAAAGGCUCACCAAGGCGACGAUCCGUAGCUGGUCUGAGAGGAUGAUCAGCCACACCGGAACUGAGACACGGUCCGGACUCCUACGGGAGGCAGCAGUGGGGAAUAUUGCGCAAUGGGCGAAAGCCUGACGCAGCCAUACCGCGUGUGUGAAGAAGGCCUUCGGGUUGUAAAGCACUUUCAGUGGGGAGGAAAAGCUGGUGGCUAAUAUCCAUCGGCCGUGACGCUACCCACAGAAGAAGCACCGGCUAAUUCCGUGCCAGCAGCCGCGGUAAUACGGAAGGUGCGAGCGUUAAUCGGAAUUACUGGGCGUAAAGCGCACGUAGGUGGCUUGGUAAGUCGGAUGUGAAAGCCCCGGGCUCAACCUGGGAACUGCAUUCGAUACUGC
rnacentral:rRNA from 1 species